rnacentral:rRNA from 1 species
CAGCCGCCGCGGUAAUACGGGAGUGGCAAGCGUUAUCCGGAAUUAUUGGGCGUAAAGCGUCCGCAGGCGGUCUUACAAGUCUGUCGUUAAAGCGUGGAGCUUAACUCCAUUUCGGCGAUGGAAACUGUAAGACUAGAGUGUGGUAGGGGCAGAGGGAAUUCCCGGUGUAGCGGUGAAAUGCGUAGAUAUCGGGAAGAACACCAGUGGCGAAGGCGCUCUGCUGGGCCAUAACUGACGCUCAUGGACGAAAGCUAGGGGAGCGAAAGGGAUUAGAUACCCCUGUAGUCCUAGCCGUAAACGAUGAACACUAGGUGUCGGGGGAAUCGACCCCCUCGGUGUCGUAGCCAACGCGUUAAGUGUUCCGCCUGGGGAGUACGCACGCAAGUGUGAAACUCAAAGGAAUUGACGG